AACUCUAACUGUUGUAAACCGUC
rnacentral:siRNA from 1 species